GGGUUGUGAGGUUAAGCGACUAAGCGUACACGGUGGAUGCCCUGGCAGUCAGAGGCGAUGAAGGACGUGCUAAUCUGCGAUAAGCGUCGGUAAGGUGAUAUGAACCGUUAUAACCGGCGAUUUCCGAAUGGGGAAACCCAGUGCAAUUCGUUGCACUAUCGUUAAGUGAAUACAUAGCUUAACGAAGCGAACCGGGGGAACUGAAACAUCUAAGUACCCCGAGGAAAAGAAAUCAACCGAGAUUCCCCCAGUAGCGGCGAGCGAACGGGGAGCAGCCCAGAGUCUGAAUCAGCAUGUGUGUUAGUGGAAGCGUCUGGAAAGUCGCACGAUACAGGGUGAAAGUCCCGUACACCAAAAUGCACAUGUUGUGAACUCGAAGAGUAGGGCGGGACACGUGGUAUCCUGUCUGAAUAUGGGGGGACCAUCCUCCAAGGCUAAAUACUCCUGACUGACCGAUAGUGAACCAGUACCGUGAGGGAAAGGCGAAAAGAACCCCGGCGAGGGGAGUGAAAAAGAACCUGAAACCGUGUACGUACAAGCAGUGGGAGCCUCUUUAUGGGGUGACUGCGUACCUUUUGUAUAAUGGGUCAGCGACUUAUAUUCUGUAGCAAGGUUAACCGAAUAGGGGAGCCGAAGGGAAACCGAGUCUUAACUGGGCGUUAAGUUGCAGGGUAUAGACCCGAAACCCGGUGAUCUAGCCAUGGGCAGGUUGAAGGUUGGGUAACACUAACUGGAGGACCGAACCGACUAAUGUUGAAAAAUUAGCGGAUGACCUGUGGCUGGGGGUGAAAGGCCAAUCAAACCGGGAGAUAGCUGGUUCUCCCCGAAAGCUAUUUAGGUAGCGCCUCGUGAAUUCAUCUUCGGGGGUAGAGCACUGUUUCGGCUAGGGGGUCA
rnacentral:rRNA from 1 species